rnacentral:rRNA from 1 species
CACGUAGGGUGCGAGCGUUGUCCGGAAUUAUUGGGCGUAAAGAGCUCGUAGGCGGUGUGUCGCGUCGGCCGUGAAAACCUGCAGCUUAACUGUGGGCUUGCGGUCGAUACGGGCAUCACUGGAGUUCGGCAGGGGAGACUGGAAUUCCUGGUGUAGCGGUGAAAUGCGCAGAUAUCAGGAAGAACACCAGCGGCGAAGGCGGCACUCUGGGCUGGAAUUGACGCUGAGGAGCGAAAGUGUGGGUAGCAAACAGG